rnacentral:misc_RNA from 1 species
GAAAUGCGAUAAGUAAUGUGAAUUGCAGAAUUCAGUGAAUCAUCGAAUCUUUGAACGCACAUUGCGCCCCUUGGUAUUCCGAGGGGCAUGCCUGUUCGAGCGUCAUUUCAACCCUCAAGCUCUGCUUGGUAUUGGGCUGUCGCGCCUCUGCGCGUGGACUCGCCUCAAAUUCAUUGGCGGCCGGUACGUUGGCUUCGAGCGCAGCACAUUUGCGAACCUCGGAGCUCCUCGUGCCUGGCUCCCAGAAGCAAUCUUUCACGAAUUUGACCUCGGAUCAGGUAGGGAUACCCGCUGAACUUAAGC